UACAGAGGGUGCGAGCGUUAAUCGGAAUUACUGGGCGUAAAGGGCGCGUAGGCGGAUAGGCAAGUGAGAUGUGAAAUACCCGGGCUCAACCUGGGAACGGCAUCUUAAACUGCUUGUCUAGAGUACUGUAGAGGAUAGUGGAAUUUCCGGUGUAGCGGUGAAAUGCGUAGAGAUCGGAAGGAACAUCAGUGGCGAAGGCGACUGUCUGGACAGAUACUGACGCUGAGGCGCGAAAGCGUGGGGAGCAAACAGG
rnacentral:rRNA from 1 species